rnacentral:rRNA from 1 species
CUUGUCCGAAGCCAGUGAUCAAUAACACCACACUGUCAGAGCAGCUUCACUGCGAGCUAGGCAUCUCUAAUCCAAUUAACCUGAUCGCCGCCAUGGCCGCUCCUACCUUUCUGCACCGCCUGCUCGCCGUCUGGCUCCUCUCCUGCGCCGCCCACGCGCAGCUCUCGACGACCUUCUACUCCGCCUCCUGCCCCAACCUGGAGGCCAUCGUGCGGGCGGGGAUGAACAAGGCCAUCCGCAACGAGCGCCGGGUCGGCGCCUCGCUUCUCAGGCUCUUCUUCCACGACUGCUUCGUCCAGGGCUGUGACGGCUCGGUUCUUCUCGACGCCGGCGGCGAGAAGCAAGCCGCACCGAACAAUGGGUCCAUCCGUGGCUUCGGUGUCAUCGACGCCAUCAAGGCCAGCGUGGAGGCCGCGUGCCCCGGCGUCGUCUCCUGCGCCGACAUCCUCGCGCUCACCGCGCGCGACGGGACGUUCCUGCUGGGCGGGCCGACCUGGAGAGUGCCGCUCGGCCGUCGCGACUCGACGACGGCGAGCCGGGCUCUGGCCAACGUGAACCUCCCGCCGCCGACCGCCGGCUUGGCCACGCUGAUCUCCCUGUUCGGCAGGCAGGGGCUCUCGCCGGCCGAGAUGACGGCGCUGUCGGGCGCGCACACCAUCGGCCUGGCGCAGUGCCUGAACUUCAACGCCCGCAUCUACAGGGACGCCAACAUCGACCCGUCCUUCGCGGCGCUGCGGCGGCGGACGUGCCCCAGCUCCGGCAACGCCAACCUGGCGCCUAUCGACGUGCAGACCCCCUCGGCGUUCGACGCCGCCUACUACCGGAACCUGCUGGCGAAGCGCGGCCUGUUCCACUCCGACCAGGCGCUCUUCGACGGAGGGUCGGAGGACGCGCUGGUGCGGCAGUACGGCGCCAACCCCGCGCUCUUCCGGACCGACUUCGCCAAGGCGAUGGUGAAGAUGGGCAACAUACAUCCGCUCACCGGAAGCGCCGGCGAGAUCAGGGCCAACUGCCAUGUCGUCAACAGCUAGCUCAUCCGAUGAACCGACUGGUAUGUACUACUACUACUAAAAGGGGCCGCGCGCACCCAUAGCGUUCUUCGGCCCAGUUCUUUUGGCCGAUUCUCCCAGAAUCUUAAGAAUCGAUCCUUCACCCAACUUCUUCCGGAAUCUUGAACCCGAUUCUCAAGAUUCUGGGGAAUUCUCUCAUCUCGUUCAAGAAGACGUAUAUCCCCUCGUUAGGAUGUGGAUUUAUGCUGCCCAAUUGUUUAGAGUUUGUCUCGCACCAUUUUGCAAUAGUGAUAACGAUGUGUCUGUUGUUGUCAAUCCUUUUCACAGAUGUUUGGCUGGGCAAUGGAGCAUGCUAUUCCAUGAACAUGAUGAAUGCUAUUAUGUUAAGGGUUUAUAUAAGUCUCCUGCAAAAAAAAUGUUAAGGGUUUAUUUUUAUUUUCGAGAGUACAAGGGUUUAAGUUUAGGUUGUCCGAUUGACCAUUUGAUAAAUGUUUGGACAAUGAAAUGGGCUACUCCAUGAACAUGCUGAAUAUUACUAUGUCCAUGCAUUUAAGUUGUUGUCCAUUGAUCACUUGAUAAAUGUUAGAGGUAUUUUGCUUUCUCUUAGGCCUCUUCCAAUGCAAAUGUGCUUAGAUGAGGUGCUAAGUGCAUUAAAUAGCUUAUCAACUUAACUCCCCAAUAUAUAGGUGCUUAACUUAUUGUUGCUAAGCUCGUUUUAUUUAAUGAGUUAACACCUAAAGUCUUUCAUGCAUUGGUCAAGUUGUUUCAUUUAAGUGGUUUGCUUAGGUUCACGCGCUUGGCAUUGGUUCUUUCUGGGGUCAUCAAAAUGCUCUCUCCCCUCCUUAAUUGUUGUGCCAUGUCAUUUUUUUUGCUUAUGUGACAUGCUUAGCACAUGAUGGAGCACUAAGAAAGGCCUUAAGCUACAGGUUUGUCAUGGUGCUCUUUGGUUUACUAGUAAGUGUGCACGUGCAUUGCGUGUCUUCACUAAUAUUUCAGGUAGAUGCGAGAAUUUACUUCUCCAUCAUAGUAAACACUUGUUUUUUUAAAGAACAUAAUCUACAUAAAUUCACUUUGGCACAUGAAAGCAUAUGCUCUUGCCAUCGGAAAAACAUUUUAAAAUGUCAAAAAAAUUCUGAACAAAAAUUUGAUGUGUACCUUUUAAUAUUCUAUGUGCGCACGCCAAGUUUUUGUGGAAAACCGGCAUUUUCUGUGACUUGCGUAAAAAAGACAAAGAAAUGUCGUGAAAAGCCAUUUUUAACACUGAAUUUUGUCUUUUUCACACGCGACAUAAAAGCUGUUUUUUUCGUAAAACGACUUUGCGAGCACAUAGAAUGUCGAGGUGUACGCGCAAAACAUUUUGCCAGAAUUUUAUGACAUUUCAAAAUACGUUUCCAUGAUGUACUAAUAUAACAGAGUCAAUAGAGAUGUUUAGCAAUGUAAGAAGACGAUUAUCCGUGCCUGCUACCUACUUUUUGAAAUAAAUCCAGAUACUUUAUUUAUUAAAAAUAACCAAUACAUCGUUUAUGAGGACUGUUACGAUUUCAUUUAAGGCUUUCUCAGAUCAAUCAGAAAUCAAAGAAAAUCUAGCUAAUCUAGUGACCUCAUGAGCAAUUUUAUUUGCUUCUCUAUUACACGUGCCUGCUACCUAGUACUAGGUUUUCAUGGAACAGAGACAGUCUCCUCUCUAAAUAAAGACGAAAAAAAUUCCAUUGUCAGAAAAAGACAAAAUAAAAAUCCCAAUCAUUUGUGGAAAUAACCACAACUAAAAAAAGACAGAACUUGCCAAAAUAAAAAAUGCAUAUGGAAAACAUUAUGAACUUGCCAACGCAACAAUGAAUGAAAAGAUGUGGCUAUAUCUGGGUGUGCUACACCCGGGUUUACAGAAAAAGCUAAAAACACACGUAUCAAGCGUGUUCCAAAAAAAUAUUCUGAAACUUUACAAUAUCAAACAUGAUAAAGUGCAGUUGUUGCAAAAUUUCAUCCACAAAAAAACAUUCGAGAUCUCGGAGAAAAAUCACUGGUCAAUGUUUUGUGCACCUUUUGAGUACAUGCUUUUUCAAACAAAAUAUGUAGGCCGAGCUGAGGCUAGUCACGAUCCAAACAAACCGCAUUCUUCACGGCUAGCCGGGCUGAACGCUCUGCAUCCAUCCCAACACGUACGUUCCUCCCCCGUCCGUCUGAGGCGGUAAAAUGUCAAGGUGUGACUGACCCAAUAUCAUUGAAGGCUUUGGCUUGUCGAGAGGCGCUCUCACUUGCCCUUGAUUUAUCACUUGCAGACAUACAAAUAGCUUCAGACUGUCAAGGCGUAAUCAAAGAUAUCCAUGAAACUACUGGUGGGCUACACUCUAGCAUUAUUAAGGAGAUCAAUCCUACAAUCCUAGCAGUUCUCUUGUUGUCCUUUCAUCUUUGAAGGAAGAGAAACUAAUCUUGAGGCACGUAGCCUUGCUAAGCAUACUCUAGAACUUUCUUUAGGACGCUAUAUGUGGGCCCUUAAUCCUUCGGAUCUACUCCCUCCGUCCGGAAAUACUUGUCAUCAAAAUGAAUAAAAGGAAAUGUAUCUAGAUGUAUUUUAGUUCUAGAUACACCCCUUUUUGUCCAUUUUGAUGACAAGUAUUUUCGGACAGAGGGAGUACAUUGUAUCCCUAUGAGCUCUUACUAGCAAAAAUGCUCGUGGGUUGCAACGGGUGAACAAAACAUAUCACAACCCAUCCCUCCUCGCCAAUGCACACUUGUCUCCGUCCUUUAUUUCAACACAAUACCCCACAUGUAUUGCCGCUUAUAUUCCUUUCUACCCUCAUCAAAGAUGGCAGUGAUUUCCACCUUCCGUCAUAUUCUAAAUCCUGCUAAAAAAUCCGAUGCAAAAAUAUACUUCGUAAAAUAUCAAGAUAUGUCAGCUCAGUCUCUUGAAGAUACUCAUAGGGGUAGGGUAUGCGUGCGUGAGUUGUUAGGGGUGAGUGUAUGCUCGUGUAUGUGAGCGACUUCGAUUGUACUGUGUUAAAAAAGAGUAUAGUGGGGGAAAUUCAGUAAUGGUUAUCCAAAAUAAGUAACAUGCACAUUUGAAGUUUUCCGUGCGUUGUAACGAGAAAACAAAACAUAUUACAUUGCAUCCCUUCUUGCCAGUACACACUUGUCUCUAUCCUUUAUUUCAACACAAAAUCCCCACAUGUAUUGCCGCUUAUAUUCCUUUUUUCCCUCAUCAACCUGCUAGAAAAAAAAUCUGAUGCAAGAACAUAAGAGGUCAACUAUAGUGGGGAAUUCGGUGAUAGGUAUCUGAAAAUAAGUGACAUACACAUUUGAUGUUUUUCGUGUGUUGCAACAGGAUAACAAAACAUAUCACAUCCCAUCCCUCCUCGCCAAUACACACUUGUCUCUGUUCUUUAUUUCAACACAAUACCCCACAUGUAUUGCGACUUAUAUUCCUUUUUGCCCUCGUCAAUGGCGGUAGUGACGUCCACCUUGCGUCAUAUUCUAAAUCCGGCUAGAAAAAUCUGAUGUGAGAACAUAAGGGGUCAACUAUAGUGUAGUAAUGGCUAUCCAAAAAUAAGUGACAUGCACAUUUGAAGUAUGUUUGCUUGAUGCAAUAAAAUCUCUUGUGGCAUGUGUAUAACAACUUCUGACUUGUAGUCAUAUGUUUAUUCAAAAACAUGUGUACAAUCAAAUCCUCUUGAAUCUAGGUGAAGCCUUCUACUUGUGGAUGAACUCUAACAGUAAAUAACCGCAGGAUUGUUUAUAUGUACGAAUAUCAAUCAUCAAAGUAGCAACACAAUGUGAUUA